CCAUAGCCAGGAUGGGCCUUCGGGCGGGCCUGGACGCGGUAUCGCCGGUAGUCACGCGUUACGAAAGAACACCGGCAGCU
rnacentral:ncRNA from 2 species